UACGUAGGGGGCUAGCGUUGUCCGGAAUCAUUGGGCGUAAAGAGCGUGUAGGCGGUCCGGUAAGUCCGCUGUGAAAGUCGGGGGCUCAACCCUCGAAUGCCGGUGGAUACUGUCGGGCUAGAGUACGGAAGAGGCGAGUGGAAUUCCUGGUGUAGCGGUGAAAUGCGCAGAUAUCAGGAGGAACACCAAUUGCGAAGGCAGCUCGCUGGAACGUAACUGACGCUGAGACGCGAAAGCGUGGGGAGCGAACAGG
rnacentral:rRNA from 1 species